UACGAGUGGAGCAAGCGUUGUUCGGAAUCACUGGGCGUAAAGCGCGUGUAGGCGGUUUGACAAGCCAGAAGUGAAAGCCUGGGGCUUAACCCCAGAACGGCUUUUGGAACUGUCUGACUAGAGGUCAGGAGAGGCAAGCGGGAUUCCCAGUGUAGAGGUGAAAUUCGUAGAUAUUGGGAGGAACACCGAUGGCGUAAGCAGCUUGCUGGACUGAAACUGACGCUGAGGCACGAAAGCGUGGGGAGCAAACAGG
rnacentral:rRNA from 1 species